ensembl:rRNA 5S_rRNA 5S ribosomal RNA
GCCAGCAGCCAUAUCACCCUGCAACUCACAGCUACUGUAGCAACCCAGUGAAGCUCAGCAGGUGUGAGCCUAGUCACUACCUGGAUUGGAGACCUCCUGGGAAAAACUAAGGUUGCUGCUGGAA